rnacentral:rRNA from 1 species
GGCGAGUGGCGAACGGGUGAGUAAUACAUCGGAACGUGUCCUGUCGUGGGGGAUAACCAGUCGAAAGACUGGCUAAUACCGCAUGAGAUCGAGAGAUGAAAGCGGGGGACUCGCAAGAGCCUCGCGCGAUUGGAGCGGCCGAUGUCGGAUUAGCUUGUUGGCGGGGUAAAAGCCCACCAAGGCGACGAUCCGUAGCUGGUUUGAGAGAACGACCAGCCACACUGGGACUGAGACACGGCCCAGACUCCUACGGGAGGCAGCAGUGGGGAAUUUUGGACAAUGGGGGCAACCCUGAUCCAGCCAUGCCGCGUGUGUGAAGAAGGCCUUCGGGUUGUAAAGCACUUUCGGACGGAACGAAAUCGCGCGGGUGAAUAUCCCGCGUGGAUGACGGUACUGUAAGAAGAAGCACCGGCUAACUACGCGCCAGCAGCCGCGGUAAUACGUAGGGUGCGAGCGUUAAUCGGAAUUACUGGGCGUAAAGCGUGCGCAGGCGGCUCCGCAAGUCAGACGUGAAA